GGAAUAUAAAAACCCGUCUCUUAAUUUUUAAUUAAAAAAGCUAAGAACCGGUUCUAAAUAAGAGUUUUAAGAACCGAACCGGUUCUUAGCUUUUUUAGUUAAAAGUUAAAAAACGGGUUCUUAUAUUCC
rfam:Brassica napus, WGS project CCCW01000000 data, contig: 8260